GGUAAUAACUAAAUAAGUCACGUAACUCACUAAGUCACGUUAUGUGACGUCGUGUGAUAUCAUGUGACAUAACCAUAAUAAUGUUGCACCCAUGCAUGCCAUGUAUAUUGGGUUAUUUGCGAUAUUAAAUAUUACAACUUAAGGAAAUAAUAUAAAAGCGUAGGGGAAAUACUGCAAUAGACUUUCUUCUUGGAUUAAUCGACGAGAGUGUCGACUACGUAAUCAUCUAGCGCCGAAGGAGCUUGACGAGGUUGUUUACUAGGGAGCUCUUUCAUAUCAUGUGGUGAGCGGUGCAACCUGUGGUAAAAUUGUAGAUGAAAUCGCCAAUAGCAUCUAACUAAGGAUGAUAUGAUCUUGUUUCUCAACGGAAGAGCCAUCAAGAAUUUUAACUCUUCCUUCCACGUAAUCAAGGAGCCUAUAGCCUCGGAGAAGAGCCGAGAACUGUGUUCGCCAGCUGAAGUAAUU
rnacentral:lncRNA from 1 species